GUAAACAAUUCCAAGUUCCAAAAUGGUUAAUAACAACAGACCAAGACGUCAACGAGCUUAACGCGUUGUCGUCACAACAACCCAAACAGCGCCUGUUCCACAGCCGCCGUGCGCGGAAUGAACAUGGCGGCGCUAACCAGAUUAAGUCAACCUGGUUUGGCGUUUCUCAAAUGUGCAUUUGCACCACGCUUCCAUGAACGUGGGUAUUUACCCAACGUCGAACUUGAUGCAGUUUACCGGAAGCAUAACUGUUUGGAAAUGCCCUGUAAAGCUGAGUACUGUGCAAUUCCCGGUUGCAACAGAUCCAGCCACCAGUUCGCUAGUUCAUACUCUUGUUGGUUUAGAUGGUGUUCUAGCGGUGGGGCCUGACAACUUCUCUGAGUCAUUCAGCCCUUUUUGAAGGAUUUGGCUUUUAGAAGCAUCCGGACGCCAACCUAACCGGGCAAGUAUCCGAACAAUCGGACAUUUGGCCACAAUAAGCCCAAUUUGGUUGAAGAUUAAAGUAGUGAGCCCCCUUAGCGCGAAACAAAACGUGCCAAGUAAUGGUAGACGCCGACGUAAUCGCACGAGGCGUAAUCGGAAUUUAUAGACGCCGACGUAAUCGCACGAGGCGUAAUCGGAAUUUAUAUUCCAAACCAGUUUAAGUCAACAGACUAAGGU
rnacentral:sRNA from 1 species